AGGACACCGGAACACGCCACCCUUGUUGGCAACUUACCUACGUUUCAUAUGAAGAAGGACACCCUGUAUAGAGCAAGGAAGAAGUCAUUUCCUCCUCUACCAUCCCAUCGCCGUGACCUAAUAAUCCCUGAGCAGUACCAAACAACAGAAGGCGGGAAACAGUUCCUGGCAUUUGAAGAUGGGGACGAGGCCAAGAUCCUGGGAUUUGCCACCACAUCCAACUUGGAGAAGUUGUGUCGAGCCGACACCUUCUUUGCAGAUGGUACACAUAUUUUAGAU